GAUAAACGCUGGCGGCGUGCCUAACACAUGCAAGUCGAACGCGCUCUUCUCUUCGCAAGAGGGGGGAGUGAGUGGCGGACGGGUGAGUACCACGUGGGUACCUACCCCAAGAUGAGGAAUACCUCCGAGAAAUCGGAGACAAGACCGCAUAGCCUCUGCACAAGAGGAAAGCCCGCAAGGGCGUCUUGGGAUGGGCCUGCGCCUGAUUAGCUGGUUGGUGGGGUAAGAGCCUACCAAGGCGACGAUCAGUAGCUGGUCUGAGAGGAUGAUCAGCCAC
rnacentral:rRNA from 1 species